rnacentral:tRNA from 1 species
GGAGACGUGGCAGAGUGGCCGAAUGCACCGGUCUUGAAAACCGGCGAGGUUAAUCCCUCCAGGGGUUCAAAUCCCCUCGUCUCCGCCA